rnacentral:rRNA from 1 species
GGUUAAGCGACUAAGCGUACACGGUGGAUGCCCUGGCAGUCAGAGGCGAUGAAGGACGUGCUAAUCUGCGAUAAGCGUCGGUAAGGUGAUAUGAACCGUUAUAACCGGCGAUUUCCGAAUGGGGAAACCCAGUGUGAUUCGUCACACUAUCAUUAACUGAAUCCAUAGGUUAAUGAGGCGAACCGGGGGAACUGAAACAUCUAAGUACCCCGAGGAAAAGAAAUCAACCGAGAUUCCCCCAGUAGCGGCGAGCGAACGGGGAGCAGCCCAGAGCCUGAAUCAGUGUGUGUGUUAGUGGAAGCGUCUGGAAAGGCGUGCGAUACAGGGUGACAGCCCCGUACACAAAAAUGCACAUGCUGUGAGCUCGAUGAGUAGGGCGGGACACGUGGUAUCCUGUCUGAAUAUGGGGGGACCAUCCUCCAAGGCUAAAUACUCCUGACUGACCGAUAGUGAACCAGUACCGUGAGGGAAAGGCGAAAAGAACCCCGGCGAGGGGAGUGAAAAAGAACCUGAAACCGUGUACGUACAAGCAGUGGGAGCACGCUUAGGCGUGUGACUGCGUACCUUUUGUAUAAUGGGUCAGCGACUUAUAUUCUGUAGCAAGGUUAACCGAAUAGGGGAGCCGAAGGGAAACCGAGUCUUAACUGGGCGUUAAGUUGCAGGGUAUAGACCCGAAACCCGGUGAUCUAGCCAUGGGCAGGUUGAAGGUUGGGUAACACUAACUGGAGGACCGAACCGACUAAUGUUGAAAAAUUAGCGGAUGACUUGUGGCUGGGGGUGAAAGGCCAAUCAAACCGGGAGAUAGCUGGUUCUCCCCGAAAGCUAUUUAGGUAGCGCCUCGUGAAUUCAUCUCCGGGGUAGAGCACUGUUUCGGCAAGGGGGUCAUCCCGACUUACCAACCCGAUGCAAACUGCGAAUACCGGAGAAUGUUAUCACGGGAGACACACGGCGGGUGCUAACGUCCGUCGUGAAGAGGGAAACAACCCAGACCGCCAGCUAAGGUCCCAAAGUCAUGGUUAAGUGGGAAACGAUGUGGGAAGGCCCAGACAGCCAGGAUGUUGGCUUAGAAGCAGCCAUCAUUUAAAGAAAGCGUAAUAGCUCACUGGUCGAGUCGGCCUGCGCGGAAGAUGUAACGGGGCUAAACCAUGCACCGAAGCUGCGGCAGCGACGCUGAUGCGUUGUUGGGUAGGGGAGCGUUCUGUAAGCCUGUGAAGGUGUACUGUGAGGUAUGCUGGAGGUAUCAGAAGUGCGAAUGCUGACAUAAGUAACGAUAAAGCGGGUGAAAAGCCCGCUCGCCGGAAGACCAAGGGUUCCUGUCCAACGUUAAUCGGGGCAGGGUGAGUCGACCCCUAAGGCGAGGCCGAAAGGCGUAGUCGAUGGGAAACAGGUUAAUAUUCCUGUACUUGGUGUUACUGCGAAGGGGGGACGGAGAAGGCUAUGUUGGCCGGGCGACGGUUGUCCCGGUUUAAGCGUGUAGGCUGGUUUUCCAGGCAAAUCCGGAAAAUCAAGGCUGAGGCGUGAUGACGAGGCACUACGGUGCUGAAGCAACAAAUGCCCUGCUUCCAGGAAAAGCCUCUAAGCAUCAGGUAACAUCAAAUCGUACCCCAAACCGACACAGGUGGUCAGGUAGAGAAUACCAAGGCGCUUGAGAGAACUCGGGUGAAGGAACUAGGCAAAAUGGUGCCGUAACUUCGGGAGAAGGCACGCUGAUAUGUAGGUGAAGUCCCUCGCGGAUGGAGCUGAAAUCAGUCGAAGAUACCAGCUGGCUGCAACUGUUUAUUAAAAACACAGCACUGUGCAAACACGAAAGUGGACGUAUACGGUGUGACGCCUGCCCGGUGCCGGAAGGUUAAUUGAUGGGGUCAGCGCAAGCGAAGCUCUUGAUCGAAGCCCCGGUAAACGGCGGCCGUAACUAUAACGGUCCUAAGGUAGCGAAAUUCCUUGUCGGGUAAGUUCCGACCUGCACGAAUGGCGUAAUGAUGGCCAGGCUGUCUCCACCCGAGACUCAGUGAAAUUGAACUCGCUGUGAAGAUGCAGUGUACCCGCGGCAAGACGGAAAGACCCCGUGAACCUUUACUAUAGCUUGACACUGAACAUUGAGCCUUGAUGUGUAGGAUAGGUGGGAGGCUUUGAAGUGUGGACGCCAGUCUGCAUGGAGCCGACCUUGAAAUACCACCCUUUAAUGUUUGAUGUUCUAACGUUGACCCGUAAUCCGGGUUGCGGACAGUGUCUGGUGGGUAGUUUGACUGGGGCGGUCUCCUCCUAAAGAGUAACGGAGGAGCACGAAGGUUGGCUAAUCCUGGUCGGACAUCAGGAGGUUAGUGCAAUGGCAUAAGCCAGCUUGACUGCGAGCGUGACGGCGCGAGCAGGUGCGAAAGCAGGUCAUAGUGAUCCGGUGGUUCUGAAUGGAAGGGCCAUCGCUCAACGGAUAAAAGGUACUCCGGGGAUAACAGGCUGAUACCGCCCAAGAGUUCAUAUCGACGGCGGUGUUUGGCACCUCGAUGUCGGCUCAUCACAUCCUGGGGCUGAAGUAGGUCCCAAGGGUAUGGCUGUUCGCCAUUUAAAGUGGUACGCGAGCUGGGUUUAGAACGUCGUGAGACAGUUCGGUCCCUAUCUGCCGUGGGCGCUGGAGAACUGAGGGGGCUGCUCCUAGUACGAGAGGACCGGAGUGGACGCAUCACUGGUGUUCGGGUUGUCAUGCCAAUGGCACUGCCCGGUAGCUAAAUGCGGAAGAGAUAAGUGCUGAAAGCAUCUAAGCACGAAACUUGCCCCGAGAUGAGUUCUCCCUGACUCCUUGAGAGUCCUGAAGGAACGUUGAAGACGACGACGUUGAUAGGCCGGAUGUGUAAGCGCAGCGAUGCGUUGAGCUAACCGGUACUAAUGAACCGUGAGGCUUAACCUU